AAAACAGGUAUGGAUUGGUUGUAAAAUGUCUACUUUGUCCUUACAACAUUUAUGUCAAUAAUGUUUUCUUCUUCACCAAAUAAACUUCGCCGACACAAAAGACGAUCCACACUCUGAGAUUGCCGAUUAAUUCUCGUCGCCGACAAGCGAAUACAUCGGAGGAAACAAGCCAACAAUGGCUUCUGCAAUUGUGAAUUGGGAAGCGCAUGAUGUUUGUCAUCAUGGAUCUGAAAUCAUGGUUGAAGACGCCUCCAUAUCCAUCAUCGUCGCAUGCUUCUUCUUCCUCUCCUUUAAUGUUCUUUUUGUUCUUGUCAUUCCAGUUUUUGCCUCCGAAAACAUGUGACGAAAGGAUUGAUGUAUAUCCUCCAGAUGUUGCAUGUAGCACAUUAAGAGUUUGACCAAUCCACUCCUCUACCUGGUCAAUAUGGUGAAGGGUAAUAAUGUCAUGAAUAGUAGUUUUUUGCUGAGUUGUACAUUGUUACUGUAUUACGUUCUUACUUCGAAAGAAAGGAGUUCAAAA